CAUGUUGCCGGUGGAGGGUCUUGACUACAAGUUGUCCAGGUUUUGGCAUCUUGAACAAUGAAUUGGACAAAACGCACAAACAAAGCAGCGAAAGAAUGAAGCAAUGAAAGCAGAUUUAUUGAAACGAAAGUACACUCCACUUAAGAGCACUCACUGAUGACAGAAUUUUCUCGAGUUUAAAUACCCACUACAGGUUUCCCAUUGGUUAUUUGGUUACACUCUACAUAAAUGAAGACGUGGCUCACUACCAGUCUGGUUGCAGGAGGUGACCAUCAGAGGCUGAACUGAACUUACAAAGUUAGACAUGAAGACUUGGGCCACCACUCAUCUGAUUGGUUGCAGGAGGGGACCAAUCGGAGAUUACCAACAGUAUUUUGGGAUGCAGCCAUUGAGUGAACUGGAAGCUUCCACCCUGCCUACAGAUUUGAAGUUGUAAAAUGCCUCUUCUGCCUGCCUGAAGCACAGUCACAGAAAUUCCACUCUACAACCGCUGAGACAGCAAGACCAACCCUUCCUCUGCCUCCUCCUCCUUAGCCUAUUCAACAUGAAGACAACAAGGAUAAAGACCUUUAUGAUGAUCCACUUCCACUCAAUGAAUAAUUUCAUCAGUAGGAAAAGAAGAGGAGGAGCUGUGAUAGUGUGUGCUUCCAUCAACCCUCCCACAGCAUCUUUUUAAUAAUAUCUGAGACUAAGAAAAAGAUCUCACUCUGACGUCACCUUGGAGCCCUAGGGAUAAAACAUGAAGAAGUAAGCUCUGCAUUCACAAAAGAAAAAAAGCAAUUUUAUAAUGUAAGUUAAUAAAUAGAACACU